UGAGGUCCCACUGGAGGCAUUUGCUUGAGUCCAAAGCACUCCUAGGCCAGCCAGAGGUUGCUGAAUACACGCUGGCUGAGUGCCCAGGGGCUCAUUCGGUGCAAGAUGAAGUCAGAAGGCUGAACCAUGGGGCAGGGGGGUGCCAUAGGGAUGGCCUGGGGUGGCCAUUGUGCUGUGGCCAAGUGCACGCCCCUGGUACUGCCUCUGCCCAACUGCCCAGGUCCCACAGCAAGUGGGAGAAUGCCAGCUGCACUAUCGGCAAUGUUGCCAUGACCCGAGGCAAGGGGAUUAUCUGGGAUCACAGGUCUGUUGCACACAGAGGAAGAGAAGUACAAAUCCAGGGAUCCAGACACUGCAUCUCUCACACACACCUAAGGAUACAGCUAGCCAAGUGAAGACCCUGGGGGUUGGGGACACACAGUCACACACAGAGAUACACAUGGGAUGCUACAAACACAGUGACAGUCCCCACUAAGGUGGGUGUGCAGUCAUACAGAGAGGCAUAGAGACAUACCAUUGUCAUGGACAUGGCCCCGUAGUCACAGAAUCGACUGAUACUGAGGCACAAAGACAGUGUCCUGUACGGUCACUGACAUGCCAGUGGUGGGGGACAAGCACACCCAUACAAGUUAGAGACACACAGGGUGUUAGAGACACAUACCAACAGUUGCAAACAAUCACACAUCAGAGACCGUCCCAGGCUUGGCAUAGGCAGACCUGUAAUGCCAUUGCUGGGACACAGAGUCACACACAGAAAUACACAGGGUGUCAUGAGCACAGUCAUGCAUAUACAGAGUCAGAAACUAAUACAGUCGCACACAGACAGGGGUGAGGUGUCACACUUGCAUGUGUGUCUUGACAGUGGACACCACUGAUGGUUCAUCCACAAGUUGGGAACACACAGGGCAUCACAGUCAAUGACUUUCCAGUGUUCAAGUGCAAUCGCAUACACAUUAUGGCAUGGGAAUGGUCACAGAAAUGCUGACACACCUACUGCUUAGCCCCUCAGAGUUGUGGGACAAAGUCCACACCCUCCCACAUGCACAGAAUCACAGACACCCAGAAGACUGUACAAUUACAGGUGCACAUGCAGCCACUGACACGUGGACACACAAGGACCCACAUACACCCAUGCCCAGACAGGCUUGCUUCCCACUGACAUACAUGGGGCCCAUUCCUGACCCACAGUCACACUGCCACACACAUACCUACACACCUUUGCUCAGUUCUGAAAUGCUAUAAAAAUUCACGAAAAUCUCCACAUCCCAGCAGUACAGUACACACAUACGUGCACACCUGGGGCCACAGGGCAAAAUCACAAAAACACUCAGAACCCCACUGGACCCUAGGGCCUCAGUGAGGUUGGCCCAAGGUGUCAAACCAGGCUCUUUGCCCUCCCAGUGAGGUAGGUGAAGGGAGGUGUUAGGGUGAAUUCCCCGUAACAAUGGCAGUUACAUGGCUGUUCGGCAUAGAUUAGCUCAAACUUCAAAAAAAUCCCCUGAAGUUAUUAUAAUUGGCCCAGGGUGAGAAAACCCUGGGCACAGAUGAGUUAGGCACUAGCCCAGAAUCACGGAGCCAAUGAGCAGAACUUGUCUCCUUCUCUGCUGUCAGAGCUGUAUCCUCACAGCGCUUAAAACUGCGCCUAGCAGGGACGCCUGGUGGCUCAGCGCUUGAGCGUUUGCCUUCGGCCCAGGGCGUGAUCCCGGGAGUCCCGCAUCGGGCUCCCGGCGUGGAGCCUGCUUCUCCCUCUCCCUGUGCCUCUCAUUAAUAAAUUAAAUCUUAAAAAAAAAAAAAAAAAAAAA
rnacentral:lncRNA from 1 species